AGAACGAACGCUGGCGGCAUGCCUAACACAUGCAAGUCGAACGAUCUCUUCGGAGAUAGUGGCGCACGGGUGCGUAACGCGUGGGAAUCUGCCCUUGGGUUCGGAAUAACAGUUGGAAACGACUGCUAAUACCGGAUGAUGACGUUAAGUCCAAAGAUUUAUCGCCCAGGGAUGAGCCCGCGUAGGAUUAGCUAGUUGGUGAGGUAAGGCUCACCAAGGCGACGAUCCUUAGCUGGUCUGAGAGGAUGAUCAGCCACACUGGGACUGAGACACGGCCCAGACUCCGUACGGGAGCAGCAGGUAGGGAAUAUUGGGAACAAGUGGGACGAAAGCCUGACUCCAGACAAUCGCCGCGUGAGUGAUGGAAGCCGUUAGGGUUAGUAAAGGCUUACCGUUUACCGAGUA
rnacentral:rRNA from 1 species